CAGUAGCCGCGGGAAUACGUAGGUGGCAAGCGUUGUCCGGAAUUAUUGGGCGUAAAGGGUCCGUAGGCGGUUUAGUAAGUCAGUGGUGAAAGCCCAUCGCUCAACGGUGGAACGGCCAUUGAUACUGCUGAACUUGAAUUAUUAGGAAGUAACUAGAAUAUGUAGUGUAGCGGUGAAAUGCUUAGAGAUUACAUGGAAUACCAAUUGCGAAGGCAGGUUACUACUAAUUGAUUGACGCUGAUGGACGAAAGCGUGGGGAGCGAACAGGAUUAGAUACCCGCGUAGUCCCUGUCUCUUAUAC
rnacentral:rRNA from 1 species